rnacentral:rRNA from 1 species
GAUGAACGCUGGCGGCGUGCCUAACACAUGCAAGUCGAGCGGAAAGGCCCUUUCGGGGGUACUCGAGCGGCGAACGGGUGAGUAACACGUGAGUAAACUGCCCCCGGCUUUGGGAUAGCCACCGGAAACGGUGAUUAAUACCGGAUACGACCACUUCUCGCAUGGGAUGGUGGUGGAAAGUUUUUCGGCCAGGGAUGUGCUCGCGGCCUAAGAGAUUGAUGGUGAGGUAAUGGCUCACCAUGGCGUCGACGGGUAACCGGCCUGUGAGGGGGACCGGUCACACUGGGACUGAGACACGGCCCAGACGCCUGCGGGAGGCAGCAGUGGGGAAUAUUGGUCAAUGGGCGGAAGCCUGAUCCAGCAACGCCGCGUGAGGGAUGACGGCCUUCGGGUUGUAAACCUCUUUCAGCAGGGACGAAGCGCAAGUGACGGUACCUGCAGAAGAAGCACCGGCCAACUACGUGCCAGCCGCCGCGGUAA